AACAAACGCUGGCGGCGUGCCUAAUACAUGCAAGUCGAACGAGGAAGUACCUUCGGGUAUUGUACUAGUGGCGUACGGGUGAGUAACGCGUGGAUAAUCUUCCUCUAGGUGGGGAAUAACCAGUCGAAAGACUGGCUAAUACCGCAUAAGACCACAAUGUCUCUGGACAAAGGGGUUAAAGGCGAAAGUCGCCUGGAGAUGAGUCUGCGCCCGAUUAGCUAGUUGGUGAGGUAAAAGCUCACCAAGGCGACGAUCGGUAGCUGGUCUGAG
rnacentral:rRNA from 1 species